AGCGAACGCUGGCGGCACGCCUAACACAUGCAAGUCGAACGAACCUUUCGGGGUUAGUGGCGGACGGGUGAGUAACACGUGGGAACGUGCCUUUAGGUUCGGAAUAACUCAGGGAAACUUGUGCUAAUACCGAAUGUGCCCUUCGGGGGAAAGAUUUAUCGCCUUUAGAGCGGCCCGCGUCUGAUUAGCUAGUUGGUUGAGGUAAUGGCUCACCAAGGCGACGAUCAGUAGCUGGUCUGAGAGGAUGAUCAGCCACAUUGGGACUGAGACACGGCCCAAACUCCUACGGGAGGCAGCAGUGGGGAAUCUUGCGCAAUGGGCGAAAGCCUGACGCAGCCAUGCCGCGUGAAUGAUGAAGGUCUUAGGAUUGUAAAAUUCUUUCACCGGGGACGAUAAUGACGGUACCCGGAGAAGAAGCCCCGGCUAACUUCGUG
rnacentral:rRNA from 1 species